AAAAAUUAAAGCUGCAGUCGGUAACUUUUGGGGCUCGCGUCUGGCGGAAGAACAUUGUAGCCGGAGCUACUUCUCUCUGUUUACAUCUAUGGCGAGUCACGCAGGUACUGUGCUACUCCGCAGCGUUGCCGACCCCAACCCAAGCGUGUACAUCUGCAGACUGCAAGACAGGGGCGUAACUUGAAAGAGGCGUAACUUGAAGUAGGAGGCGUAACUUGAAGUUGUCGAAAUCUCACAGAAUCACGCGAGAUGUCAAAAUGAUAAGUUGUUGGCAAUAUGGCUUCUUUCAGUAGGGCACAGAGUAGAAUAUUGAUUACGUUUUUUUAAGGAAAGCAGGGGUUUUAGGCAGGAUUUGAUGCAUAAGGUGUGUGUAGAUAUUAAUGUUAGGGGACAAUGUGAGUGAUGUGUACGUUUAGUAGGAAAAUCUAUUAUCUGAUCCACACUCCGGGACAGAAGAGGGCGGUAUUGCACCAAUAAGCUGGAUGCCAACCGCCGUUAAACUGGAAAGAAGUUACAAUGAGUUACAAUGGAACAGAUUAUGUUUAUCUGCUGUAGAGUGACUGAUGAAGGAAUGCUGCCAUCAAAGGAUUUGUGUUAUGAAAAUGUCUGCAGACUGGUGUGUGCACUGAGGAUGGAGAAGUCCACUGCAGCAUCCGGAAAUGGUCCAGAGACACGGAUGAGACGCUCCAUCACUCCAGCUAUUACUGUCUCAUCAAGACCAGAUGCUGCUGUGGUCUAUUCAUCAUCAGUGACCCCAGAGCAGCGAGAGCAUCUAGAGAAAGACCAAAAGACACUGAGGAUUUGACUUUGGUAAAGUUUGUUCUGCUGGUUUCUGUUUAUAAGACGAAGGCUGACUUUCAGAAGCUUCAAAAGCAUCCUCAAAAAAUGUGAUGGAGCUUUUAUCUGAAGUGAUUGACAGUGCUCUUAUUACAGGGGCCUACAAUCCUCUGAUCAACCUGGAGAAAAGAGCCGUGCUCAAGCACAGUUUUGAACCAGUUCAGUGGUUUAGCACACUACAAAAGUAAUAAAUCAAUGCAUGUACUUGUAAACUCUGUGUAAAUGUUUUCCAGGUAGUGGUGCUCAUGGAGAGCAGCACACGAUUGUUUGGAGCAGACACAGCAGCACUCAGAUUGUCCUGCAUGUGUUCUUCUGCUCUCGUUUCAAGGUUGUGUGGUUCAGAGAGCCGUCAUCAAGGUCUUCCUCAUCCUGUUGCUCAACGACAUCCCCGUUGAGAAGAGUGAGAUUGUGAAGCACAGCGCAGCACCAGAACUGUCUCAGCUGUGUUGAGAUGAUAGUAAGAUGUGGGGUUCACCGUCAGUAAAUACAUGAUUGUUAGAACAGUAAGUUUGAAAGAAGCUUUGUUUCAUGUGUUGUUGACUUGUACAUGUCUGUAUUUAUUGUGAUGCUAACAUUUAUACAUUCUUUUAAUCAUUUAGACAUGUUU